rnacentral:rRNA from 1 species
AACGAACGCUGGCGGCAGGCCUAACACAUGCAAGUCGAACGCUCGUAGCAAUACGAGAGUGGCAGACGGGUGAGUAACACGUGGGAACCUUCCCUAUGGUUCGGAAUAGCCCAGGGAAACUUGGGGUAAUACCGGAUAAGCCCUUCGGGGGAAAGAUUUAUCGCCAUUGGAUGGGCCCGCGUCGGAUUAGCUAGUUGGUGGGGUAACGGCCCACCAAGGCGACGAUCCGUAGCUGGUCUGAGAGGAUGAUCAGCCACACUGGGACUGAGACACGGCCCAGACUCCUACGGGAGGCAGCAGUGGGGAAUAUUGGACAAUGGGCGCAAGCCUGAUCCAGCCAUGCCGCGUGAGUGACGAAGGUCUUCGGAUUGUAAAGCUCUUUUGGCGGGGACGGAUAAUGACGGUACCCGCAGAAUAAGCCCCGGCUAACUUCGUGCCAGCAGCCGCGGUAAUACGAAGGGGGCUAGCGUUGUUCGGAAUCACUGGGCGUAAAGCGCACGUAGGCGGAUGUGCC